rnacentral:rRNA from 1 species
UACGGGGGGGGCAAGCGUUGUUCGGAAUUACUGGGCGUAAAGGGCGCGUAGGCGGCCUGCUAAGUCGGACGUGAAAUCCCUCGGCUCAACCGGGGAACUGCGUCCGAUACUGGCGAGGCUUGAAUCCGGGAGAGGGAUGUGGAAUUCCAGGUGUAGCGGUGAAAUGCGUAGAUAUCGGGAGGAACACCAGUGGCGAAGGCGGCUUCCUGGCCUGUUCUUGACGCUGAGGCGCGAAAGCUAGGGGAGCAAACGGG